GACGGAGGGGGCUAGCGUUGUUCGGAAUGACUGGGCGUAAAGGGCGCGUAGGCGGCAAAUCAAGUCAGGUGUGAAAGCCUUGGGCUCAACCCAAGAAUAGCGCUUGAUACUGGUUGGCUAGAGGAUGGAAGAGAAAAGCGGAAUUCCUAGUGUAGAGGUGAAAUUCGUAGAUAUUAGGAAGAACACCAGUGGCGAAGGCGGCUCACUGGUCCGGUACUGACGCUGAGGUGCGAAAGCGUGGGGAGCAAACAGG
rnacentral:rRNA from 1 species